UACAGAGGGGGCAAGCGUUGUUCGGAAUUACUGGGCGUAAAGGGCGCGUAGGCGGCCUGUUAAGUCGAACGUGGAAUCCCCGGGCUCAACCCGGGAACUGCGUCCGAUACUGGCAGGCUUGAAUCCGGGAGAGGGAUGCGGAAUUCCAGGUGUAGCGGUGAAAUGCGUAGAUAUCUGGAGGAACACCGGUGGCGAAGGCGGCAUCCUGGACCGGCAUUGACGCUGAGGCGCGAAAGCCAGGGGAGCAAACGGG
rnacentral:rRNA from 1 species